rnacentral:rRNA from 1 species
CCCUUAGAUGUUCUGGGCCGCACGCGCGCUACACUGAUCAGUGCAACAAGCAUCCGUCCUUGGCCGACAGGCCCGGGCAAUCUUUGAACGCUGAUCGUGAUGGGGAUAGACUUUUGCAAUUUUUGGUCUUCAACGAGGAAUUCCUAGUAAACGCAAGUCAUCAACUUGCAUUGAUUACGUCCCUGCCCUUUGUACACACCGCCCGUCGCACCUACCGAUUGAAUGGUCCGGUGAAGCCUCCGGAUUGGCGUGCACCCUCGGGUGCUGCCGAGAAGUUGGCUAAACCUUACCAUUUAGAGGAAGGUGAAGUCGUAAC